AAGCAUCCUGUUAAGUCAGGCAACGAGCGAGACCCACGCCAACAGUUGCCAGCUCGUCCUCCGGGGAUGGUGGGGACACGUGUUGGGACCGCCUCUGCUAAAGAGGAGGAAGGAAUGGGCAACGGUAGGUCAGCAUGCCCCGAAUUAUCUGGGCUACACGCGGGCUACAAUGGGUGGGACAAUGGGUAUCGACACCGAAAGGUGAAGGCAAUCUCCUAAACCCAUCCGUAGUUCGGAUUGUGGGCUGCAACUCGCCCACAUGAAGCUGGAAUCUGUAGUAAUCGUGUCUCAAAAUGGCACGGUGAAUAUGUCCCUGCUCCUU
rnacentral:rRNA from 1 species